AAGUUAAAAAAUAGAGACAAAUCACUUAUCUAAAACUUACCGAACGAUCGCAGACAAACGUGGAGUGACACGAGGCAAAGUGGGAAAAGAAAAAUCAAGAAGAUGAAAGGUGAAAGAGAGCAAAAAUUCGGCAGCAAUGAAGAGAAAAACGACAAGAAGGUGGAGGGAUUUUGGGGAAAGUAAAAAAAAAGGAAAAAAAAAGAUGAAUAGAAUAUUUGAUAACCACCCCAAUCCACUACUCGGAUUUUUAGUCCAUCUCAAACUCUCCUGGAUGCACGAGCAAAAAUAAUGCCCACACCAAGACUCAAACACAGGACCUCCUUCACACAACACUCCACUUAUUCACCAGACCAGCAGACCCAUUCUGUUAAUUAUUU
rnacentral:lncRNA from 1 species